CUCAAAAUGUGGCUACAAACGUGUCCUACUCCUCCGCGAAUUUGCGGGUUAGUCGUGUCCGAAUUCAGGGGAAGGAUGCGCCAAUGCCACAUCUGGAGGCAAUGACGUCACGGCGACGCGACGAAGGCUGUCCGAAUUCAAAGAGCACUCAAAAUGUGGCAACAAAUGUGUCCUACUUUGCCCUGAAUUCUAAGGAUGGUCCGAUGUAUCCUCCGUGUCCUACUAUAUCCCAGGAUUCAUUGCGGGCCACCUGCCGCAUAAAUUCCGAACCAGUAGAAUGAUUUUUGAGCGGAACAAUGGCGGGCGAACCAGGCGUGACAGUGGGAGAGGAAUCCACAUUCAAAUGGAACAAAGAGCAAACAACACUCCUCAUCCGAUUACGAGGGGAAAACGACCACCUCUUCACUGGGGUGAAGAAUUCUGCCACUGUGGCAUGGAGGACUAUACUGGAGAAGAUGGGCUUGCA
ensembl:lncRNA